AGAGUUUGAUCAUGGCUCAGAACGUACGCUGGCGGCACGCCUAACGCAUGCAAGUCGAACGAAGUAGCAAUACUUAGUGGCAGACGGGUGAGUAACAUGUAGGUAUCUUCCCUUUGGCCUGGAAUAACACGAGGAAACUUGUGCUAAUACUGGAUAAGUCUUUACGGAGAAAGCUUUAUGCACCAUUGGAUGAGCCUGCACUUGAUUAGUUUGUUGGUGGGGUAAAGGCCUACCAAGACUGUGAUCAAUAGCUGAUUUGAGAGGAUGAUCAGCCACAUUGGGACUGAGACACGGCCCAAACUCCUACGGGAGGCAGCAGUGGGGAAUCUUGCACAAUGGAGGAAACUCUGAUGCAGCGAUGCCGCGUGAGUGAAGAAGGCCUUUGGGUUGUAAAGCUCUUUCGUCGGGGAAGAAAAUGACUGUACCCGAAUAAGAAGGUCCGGCUAACUUCGUGCCAGCAGCCGCGGUAAUACGAAGGGACCUAGCGUAGUUCGGAAUUACUGGGCUUAAAGAGUUCGUAGGUGGUUGAAAAGUUGGUGGUGAAAUCCCAGAGCUUAACUCUGGAACUGCCAUCAAAACUUUUCAGCUAGAGUUUGAUAGAGGAAAGCAGAAUUUCUAGUGUAGAGGUGAAAUUCGUAGAUAUUAGAAAGAAUACCAAUUGCGAAGGCAGCUUUCUGGAUCAUUACUGACACUGAGGAACGAAAGCAUGGGUAGCGAAGAGGAUUAGAUACCCUCGUAGUCCAUGCCGUAAACGAUGUGUGUUAGACGUUGGAAAUUUAUCUUCAGUGUCGCAGCGAAAGCGAUAAACACACCGCCUGGGGAGUACGACCGCAAGGUUAAAACUCAAAUGAAUUGACGGGGACCCGCACAAGUAGUGGAGCAUGUGGUUUAAUUCGAAGAUACGCGCAGAACCUUACCAACACUUGACAUGUUCGUCGCGACUUUAAGAGAUUAAAGUUUUCGGUUCGGCCGGACGAAACACAGGUGCUGCAUGGCUGUCGUCAGCUCGUGUCGUGAGAUGUUGGGUUAAGUCCCGCAACGAGCGCAACCCUCACUUUUAGUUGCCAUCAUUUAGUUGGGCACUCUGAAAGAACUGCCAGUGAUAAGCUGGAGGAAGGUGGGGAUGACGUCAAGUCCUCAUGGCCCUUACGUGUUGGGCUACACACGUGCUACAAUGGUAUUUACAACAGGAAGCAAAACGGCGACGUUAAGCAAAUCCUUAAAAAAUACCUCAGUUCGGAUUGCACUCUGCAACUCGAGUGCAUGAAGCUGGAAUUACUAGUAAUAGUCUCUCACCAUGCCACGGUGAAUGCGUUCCUCGGGUCUUGUAGAC
rnacentral:rRNA from 1 species